rnacentral:tRNA from 1 species
GGUGACGUGGUGUAGUUGGUUAUCACAUCAGUCUCACACACUGAAGGUCUCCAAUUCAAGUCCGGGCGCCGCCA